rnacentral:rRNA from 1 species
CCUACGGGUGGCUGCAGUGAGGAAUAUUGGUCAAUGGACGAGAGUCUGAACCAGCCAAGUAGCGUGAGGGAUGACUGCCCUAUGGGUUGUAAACUUCUUUUAUAUGGGAAUAACAUGUUCCACGUGUGGGUUUUUGUAUGUACCGUACGAAUAAGGAUCGGCUAACUCCGUGCCAGCAGCCGCGGUAAUACGGAGGAUCCGAGCGUUAUCCGGAUUUAUUGGGUUUAAAGUGAGCGUAGGUGGAUUGUUAAGUCAGUUGUGAAAGUUUGCGGCUCAACCGGAGCAUUGCAGUUGAAACUGGAAGUCUUGAGUACAGUAGAGGUAGGCGGAAUUCGUGGUGUAGCGGUGAAAUGCAUAGAUAUCACGAAGAACUCCGAUUGCGAAGGCAGUUCACUGGACUGCAACUGACGCUGAGGCUCGAAAGUGUGGGUAUCAAACAGGAUUAGAUACCCCAGUAGUC